UGACUUCUCCAGUAGCAGCAUUCAUUGCACCAAUAAGUGUGUUGUUACAAAUGUUGCUAAGAUGGCCUUUGUAUUUUAACCAUUUACCAGCGGCAGAAAUAUGAUCGGUAGUACACUUCCCCUUGACCUUCACUGCAACCUUAAGGUUUUCCAUUUCUCCUCCUUGGUAAGGCUCAAAGGGUUCAAGGGCCUCCAAACGAUCAGAUUUGGGAUCGAUUGUAACUUCGGUUUCCGGAACAGGCUGAGGAUUAGGCUCAGGAAUGUAGGAAGAGUCACCAGCGAUGAAUCCAGCCGAAGGAAGCUCGACGCCCUGAGGGGGUCUAAACUUGAAGGCUUUACCAUCGGGUGUUUGCAAUGUAUCAUGCGUGGGAUCAAAUGCAAGAUCAGAGGAAAAAAUCUUGGCAGCCACAAUUACGGGACUGGUCAAGAAGUUCAUAGUCGAUGGAUUUCCGUCAUUACGAGAGCGGAAAUUACGAUUGAAACUUGUAAGAAUAGCAUUUGGCUCGCCUGAAGCAAUGUCAUCGGUACGCUUCCACAUACCAAUGCAUGGACCACAUGCGUUUGCCAGCACAGUAGCGCCAGCUUCUUCCAAGCGUUCAGUAAUGCCAUCACGUUCAAUGGUUGCGCGAAUUUGCUCACUACCCGGUGUAACCAAAAAUGGAACCUUUGGUUUAAGUCCAGCAGAUAUAGCUUGUUCAACAACAUCGA